UGGAGAUGGAGUGACUGUCCCCCGAGUACUUCGGAGGAAAGUCCCGACUCCAAUACCGAAACUGCAACGCAGUUUCUGGGCUUCCAGAAAAUCUGCAGCAGAUUUUCGGUAAUUGCAGCAGGUGUUAACACCUGUAACCUGAGAGGGUUAAGGCUAACCAUAACCCAGAGUAAUAUCUUGGGAUAGGAAGGCCUGAGGAUCGCAGAAACGACACGGCUUCCGUGUAAAAAGGAUGAUGACACAAGUCAGACGUUUACGGAAGCAGCGCUGAAACGAGAUCCAGGCGCAUGGAGCAAGCCUAAAAUGGUGCAAUCCAGGCCUCGGAGAGUUAAUGGUUUUAACCCAUCUAUCUCUCUUGAGGUGUGGUAUAGUGAAAUACAGUCGUAGAAACAGAAUCGGGCUUACUCCCAUCUCCA
rnacentral:RNase_P_RNA from 1 species